rnacentral:rRNA from 1 species
AACGCGAAGAACCUUACCAAGGCUUGACAUAUACAGGAAUACGGCAGAGAUGUCGUAGCCGCAAGGUCUGUAUACAGGUGGUGCAUGGUUGUCGUCAGCUCGUGUCGUGAGAUGUUGGGUUAAGUCCCGCAACGAGCGCAACCCUCGUCCUGUGUUACCAGCAUUUAGUUGGGGACUCACAGGAGACUGCCGGGGUCAACUCGGAGGAAGGUGGGGAUGACGUCAAAUCAUCAUGCCCCUUAUGUCUUGGGCUGCACGCAUGCUACAAUGGCUGGUACAAAGGGCUGCGAUACCGCGAGGUGGAGCGAAUCCCAAAAAGCCAGUCUCAGUUCGGAUUGGGGUCUGCAACUCGACCCCAUGAAGUCGGAGUUGCUAGUAAUCGUAGAUCAGCAACGCUACGGUGAAUACGUUCCCGGGUCUUGUACACACCG